CCUUGGAGAUAAUGUCACAGCUGAAGUGAGACUUUGAAACCUGCUUGCUCAUAACCUUUUGUCAAUAAGUUGGAAAUGAAAGACUCUACUUCCCUGUGAUAUCCUCAACAGUCAAAAUCACCUGGCUUAUCAAUGGACCAGCAUGGCUUUCCCCAUAAGAAUUUACUGCACGCUGCGGACUGGAGCUGCAGGCGGAGCUCACUUGUCUUCAGGACAGUGUGAUGGCGUUACCUGAGGAAGGGACCGAGCAUGUCAUGAAUCGGCGCCUUCAGGCUUCCUCUUCUGGACUCCCUGUAUUCCAAAGAGCACCUUACACAGAUAGCUGAUUGGCUGUCUACCUGGUAAGAGAAAUGGCUGCUUCUGGGAUCAGCAGAGACAAAAGAAAAGGCCGUGAACAGGGAGAGGAGUGGGCAUAGUUAGGGCUUCGAAGGC
rnacentral:lncRNA from 1 species